CCAGGAGAUGUUUGGCUUCCAAGUGGGGCCCCAUCGGCGCCCCUCCUGUGGGUACCAUCAGUCCCCCUUACGCGCAGGUUACAUGCCCUGAAGGAGGACCUGCGCUGCUGUUACAAAUGACAGGUUUCCCAGAUGAGACUUAACAAGCUUGUCUUUCCUGUAUUUCUUGCAGUUCCCCCCUUGUCUGACAGGUUGUCUUUAUGGCCAGGCCUCCCGGAGGAGCAUUAACAAGUCAUCAGCUAUGGAAGAAAAGCAAGCUGGUGCCCACUUUUCUCCGUGCCCACCACUUCCCGCACCCCCUCCCCUUUGCAGACCCUCGCCCAUCUGCCCCUUUUUCCCCCUUUGUAUAAAUACCCCUGCCCUCUGCCAAAGAGCAGGACGGUGGUCUUUCAGACAUGCGUCUGCUGCCCUCCUCAUUUGUCCACGAAUUAAACUACUUUCCUUCUCCUCAAACUCUUUCUUUUUAUUGGCUGAGGGAAUCUGAGGAUGGCGUUCAACAUCACCUGCGCUCCUGGAUCAAGGUGGACAGGGCGCCUCAGAUCACUGGGGAAUAAGUGGGAGGCAGCUGGAGCAGCUGAGCAAUACACAAACUCCCUGGAGGGUACUUGCAUGGAGGGGCUGCGCAGACACCUGGAGAAUGGCAAGAAGGGACAUCACCCUGACCUGGCAGUGAGAAUGGGAGGACCUGACCCAGGACACGGAAUUGGUGGAGACCAGGCCUGGGGGGAAUGGAACCUUCCAGAAAUGGGCAGCUGUGGUGUUGCCUUCUGGAGAGGAACAGAGAUACACUUGCUAUGUGCAGCUGCUGGAGCCCCGAAUGCUGGCUUGGGUGCCCCCUCCUCAGCCCACCAUCCCUACUGACUCUACUGACUCCACUAUGGACAUCAUUGCUGCCCUGGUUCUCCUUGGAGCUGUGCUCACUGGGGCUGCGGUGGCUUCAACUGUGACGUGGAGGAAAAAGCUCAGGAGUACAAGGAGAAAGCUACACCCAGGCUGCAGCUUCUCCCUGUAACCCUGCCCUUAAAUGUAGUAACCCCAGUGCUGGUGCUAAUCGCGACCCAUGGAUUGAUGGAGUCAGUUACCGUCAUAGUUGGCUGAAAAAUGGGACCCAUAAGCCUAGGAACUUGGGUAUCCCUGGUGGCCCAGAGGAAAAAAACUCAAAGAUAGACUAGUGGAGACACAUCAAACCGCAAGCUCCUGCCCAGCUAAGGACACUGUCAUUGCAUGUAAAGACACCCUAUGGGGUGGGAGAAAUAAUUUGCAUAUCAUACAUCAGGAUAUAUGAAGAAUACAUAUAACUCAACCACCAGAAACAACCCAAUCAAAAAUGUGGAGAAGAGCUGAGUGGACAUGUCUCCAAAGAAGAUGCAGAUGGCCACAGGCACAUGGAAAAUGCUCCCAUCACACGUCAUCAGAGGAUGCAGGUCAGAACCACAAUGAGACACCACCUCACACCUGUGAGGUGGCUCAUAUUAAAAGGACCAGGGGACUGAGGUGAUGGUGCACGGGUGCCUCGGGAAAGGAAA